GAUGAACGCUGGCGGCGUGCCUAACACAUGCAAGUCGAACGGAAAGACGAGGAGUUUGCCCCGCUGACGAGUGGCGAACGGGUGAGUAAAACAUGUGUAUAACCCCCCUAUAAGAGGGGGAUCACUAGGAAACAGGGGCGCUAACCCCGGAGAAUAUCUUGAACCACGGGGGGCAAUAGUGAAAGACGGCUGUGGGGUUAGGUCUAGCUGGAUUCGCGCUGGUUUGGGUAGUAGGUAGGGUAAAGGGUUACGAAGGCGACGAUGCGUGGGCGAGCUGAGAGGGUGAUCGGCCACACUGGAACUGAGACACGGACCAGACGCCUACGGGAGGCAGCAGUCGGGAAUGGUAGGCAAUGGGCGAAAGCAUGACACAGCAAGGGCGCGUGUGUGACGAAGGCCUUCGGAUCGUAAAGCUCUGUUAUGGGGGAAGAACCACUUUGUCCUGAGACGUGCGGGGAGUGACGGUACCGGAUAAAUAAGCACCGGCUAACUACGUG
rnacentral:rRNA from 1 species